ensembl:snRNA
AGCUUUGCGCAGUGGCAGUAUAGUAGCCAAUGAGGCUUAUCCGAGGCGUGUUUAUUUCUAAUUUAAAACUUAAAAUAUGAUGGAGAGAACCCCUGGGUAUUUACUAUACAGUUAGAUUAAC